rnacentral:misc_RNA from 1 species
UUUCCGUAGGUGAACCUGCGGAAGGAUCAUUGUCGAAACCUGCAUAGCAGAACAACUAGUGAACAUGUUAUUAACAUGCAAGGAGGAGGGGUGAUGGCUUGCCUAGUCCCUUCCCCUAAUGUCAUGUGGCUUUCUGUUUUGAUUGCUGCAUGGCAAAAUAACCAAACCCCGGCGCGUUAUGCGUCAAGGAAUACAACCAAGAGUUUGCCUAUCCUGAACUGGGUUUCCGGUUCAUGGGUGUGGCACCAAUGUAAGUUAUGAAAUGACUCUCGGCAACGGAUAUCUCGGCUCUCGCAUCGAUGAAGAACGUAGCGAAAUGCGAUACUUGGUGUGAAUUGCAGAAUCCCGUGAACCAUCGAGUUUUUGAACGCAAGUUGCGCCCGAAGCCUUUUGGCCAGGGCACGUCUGCCUGGGCGUCACGCAUAGCGUCUCACCUAUCCCACGAAAUCUUGGUUUAGGAGAGGAUGAUGGCCUCCCAUGUCACACCUGGCGUGGAUGGCUUAAAAAGGAGCCUUGGGUUACUAGAUGCCGUGGCGAUUGGUGGUACAAGCAUCUCGCUGCGGGAUAAGUAUCUUAAUUGGCUCGUAGGACCCUUUGAUAACCUUUGCGACCCCAGGUCAGGCGGGGUUACCCGCUGAGUUUAA